UUUGGUUUUAUUUUAAGAAUAUUAUCUCAUUGCACUUGUGGCCGUUCAUGUGAGCAACCCGGAGUUAUAUAAAGUGGUAGGUUUAUUUCCACGCAGGGAGGGUUGUAAUAAUUAGCUUUCGUGCUUCAAUAGUUUCUUUCUCUGCUGCUAUUGGCUACUGGGGAUUUGUUUUGCUUAUUUAAUAAAUAGAGUCCCACUUUUUCCGUUUAGGCUUCUAAUUUUCCACAUGGAGAUAAAAAUUAGCCUAGGAAUAUGAUUACCAUAACGUGUGUUCGCGAAUUCUAGUUGGUGGCAAUGUUGACUGAUGGUCGUUUCUUUCCUUAGGUGCCCCUUGUGCUUAGGUAUACAGGCCAUUGUAAAUCGAAGUUAAUUUUACUGUAAGGUUAUCAGGCAUGGUGGUUUCUGCCUGGGAAAUGGAGGUGAGGGUUUGGUUCAUUAAGGGUAUACCAGCUCCAUAGCAAGUCUGGGGCCAGUGUGGGUUACAUAUGCUUCCACAUGAAAAUACUACAAAGCAGCGGUGUUUUUUGUUUCGGUGGGAAUAAGGGAAGAGAUAAUUUACACUGAAUGAAUUCUGUCCCUGGCUUGACUGAUACAGACCACCAUCUCACAUGAAGUAGAAGCCUAUCUCUCAACACACCUGUCACGGUGGGUGGGCUUAACUUUUGCUUUUCAGGCUCCUCAUUUUGUCUAUAGUGAGUGUAUUUGCUAAUGUCUAAAAGCAGGUGCACGAAUGCCAUGGUGCACAUGUGCGGGCGGAAGGACAGCUUUGGUGUCCUUCACAGACGGGAAGUCAGGAUCCCUUGUUUGUGCUGCUGUGCACUUCAGGCUAGCUGAUGGACAGAUAAGGAAGCCAAGAAACAAACAGACUGCUUUUAUCAGGUUACAUAAACAGUAAGAACUGCUGAGGAGAACAGACUAGCCUGCUGCCUGGAAGAGACUCAGACCUGCCUGAAGGAGAGAUUCUCUGACCUGUUGAGCUCUCUGCAAGUAGUGUAAUGAACUCCAGGGUUCCUGCUCUUGGUGAUGUAGCUGUCUUUGAGUUGUCCCUGCCUUGGCCCUUGCCCCUUUACCUAUACUCUUGUGAAUAACUCUAAUAAACUCGUUGGUUUGCCAGA